ACUAGUGGCUCACACCUGUAAUCCUAUCUACUCAGAGGCUGAGAUUUUAGGAUUUAGGUUCGAAGCCAGCAGAGGCAGAAAAGGCCUUCAGACUCAUC